GACGAACGCUGGCGGCGUGCUUAACACAUGCAAGUCGAGCGGAAAGGCCUGCUUUCCCUUGUGGAUUGCGGGUACUCGAGUGGCGAACGGGUGAGUAACACGUGAGUGAUCUGCCCCCAACUUGGGUAUAAGCCUGGGAAACUGGGUCUAAUUCCCGAUAGGACUGCAGGGUGGUGCCUGUGGUGGAAAACGAUUUUCUAGUGGUUGGGGAUGAGCUCGCGGCCUAUCAGCUUGUUGGUGGGGUAAGGGCCGACCAAGGCGGCGAGCGGAAGCCGGCCGGAGAGGGGGGACCGUCCCACUGGGACCUGGUCCACGCCCCGACGCCCAGCGGAGGCAGGCAGUGGGAAUAUUAGGCCAAUGGCCGGAGGCUGCUGCCGCGCGGGCGUGUUGGGGAUGUCGGCCUUCGGGUUGUAAACUCCUUGCGACCGCGAGGAAGCCACCUGGUUGGAAGGGUGGUGACGGUAGUGGUAGAAGAAGCACCGGCUAACUACGUG
rnacentral:rRNA from 1 species